rnacentral:misc_RNA from 1 species
GGGAGCGCCAUUGAAACUAGGGAUGUUGAUAACACGGAGUGGCAUCGUAGAGGACUGGUACCUCCUGUGGUUCUACCUGACCAUCCCCGGCCUCUAGAGGUCUUUGAUUAUGGAUUUGUUGCACUGAGAAAUGAAAUUUAUGUUUUGGGAGGAAGAGUGCUGCGAUGGGAGGAAUCUGGGACCGGGAAGUUUAACAUUGUGAAGUUGAGCA